rnacentral:rRNA from 1 species
UAAGAAUAUUCCGCAAUGGACGAAAGUCUGACGGAGCGACGCCGCGUGGAUGAAGAAGGCCGCAAGGUUGUAAAAUCCUUUUGCUGGGGAAGAAUAAGUCCAGGAGGGAAUGCCUGGAUGAUGACAUGAACCGGCGAAUAAGCCCCGGCCAACUACGUGCCAGCAGCCGCGGUAACACGUAGGGGGCAAGCGUUGUUCGGAAUUACGGGGCGUAAAGGGCAUGUAGGCGGUUUAGUAAGCUUGGCGUGAAAGACCACAGCUCAACUGUGGGGUUGCGUUGAGAACUGCUGAACUUGAGUUACGGAGAGGGAGCUAGAAUUCCUGGUGUAGGGGUGGAAUCUGUAGAGAUCAGGAAGAAUACCGAUGGCGAAGGCAAGCUUCUGGCCGAUAACUGACGCUGAGGUGCGAAAGUGUGGGGAUCAAACA